rnacentral:tRNA from 3 species
GGCGAGGUAGCAAAGAGGUUAUGCAGCGGUUUGCAACGCCGCCUAGACAGGUUCGAUUCCUGUCCUCGCCUCCA